GACGAACGCUGGCGGCGUGCUUAACACAUGCAAGUCGAACGGAAAGGCCCUGCUUUUGUGGGGUGCUCGAGUGGCGAACGGGUGAGUAACACGUGAGUAACCUGCCCUUGACUUUGGGAUAACUUCAGGAAACUGGGGCUAAUACCGGAUAGGAGCUCCUGCUGCAUGGUGGGGGUUGGAAAGUUUCGGCGGUUGGGGAUGGACUCGCGGCUUAUCAGCUUGUUGGUGGGGUAGUGGCUUACCAAGGCUUUGACGGGUAGCCGGCCUGAGAGGGUGACCGGCGACAUGGGGACUGAGAUACGGCCCAGACUCCUACGGGAGGCAGCAGUGGGGAAUAUUGCAGAAUGGGCGGAAGCCUGAUGCAGAAACGCCGCGUGCGGGAUGACGGCCUUCGGGUUGUAAACCGCUUUCGACGGUGACGAAGCGUGAGUGACGGUAAUGGGUAAAGAAGCAACGGCUAACUACGUG
rnacentral:rRNA from 1 species